rnacentral:rRNA from 1 species
UAAGGGAUAUUGGUCAAUGGGGGGCGGGAGCCUGAACCAGCCAUGCCGCGUGAGGGAAUGAGGCCCUACGGGUCGUAAACCUCUUUUGCCGGGGGAUAACGGGCGCCACGUGUGGCGCCGUGAAGGUACCCGGAGAAUAAGCAUCGGCUAACUCCGUGCCAGCAGCCGCGGUAAUACGGAGGAUGCAAGCGUUAUCCGGAUUUAUUGGGUUUAAAGGGUGCGUAGGCUGUUUGACAAGUCAGUGGUGAAAGCCCGGGGCUUAACUCCGGAACUGCCGUUGAUACUGUUGAGCUGGAAUACGGAUGCCGUGGGAGGAAUGAGUAGUGUAGCGGUGAAAUGCAUAGAUAUUACUCAGAACACCGAUUGCGAAGGCAUCUCACGAAUCCGUCAUUGACGCUGAGGCACGAAAGCGUGGGGGAUCAAACAGGAUUAGAUACCCUGGUAGU